CCAUCACCAUCAUCAUCAUCACCAUCAUCACCAUCACCAUCACCACCAUCAUCACCAUCACCAUCACCAUCACCAUCACCAUCACCACCAUCACCAUCAUCACCAUCAUCACCACCAUCACCAUCAUCAUCACCAUCAUCACCAUCACCACCAUCACCAUCAUCACCAUCACCAUCAUCACCAUCACCACCAUCACCACCAUCACCACCAUCACCAUCACCAUCAUCACCAUCACCAUCAUCACCAUCAUCAUCAUCACCAUCACCACCAUCAUCAUCACCAUCACCACCAUCACCAUCACCACCAUCAUCAUCAUCAUCACCAUCACCAUCAUCACCAUCACCACCAUCAUCAUCAUCAUCAUCACCAUCACCACCAUCACCAUCACCUUCCUUUCCUGAGAGAGAUCCAGGGCACAGAGCGUUUUGGAAUCUUGCCAAUGACCAGCAGCCAUCUCUCAGCAUCCUUGGAGGAUCAGUUCCAGUUCACUCUGAGAUACCCAGUCCCCGGGUCCUGGGGAUCCUUGCGUGAAACGGCGCACUGCGGCACACUGUGGCACACUGUGGCACACUGCGGCACACUGCGGCACACUGCGGAGCACUGCGGCACACUGCGGAGCAGCACACUGCGGCACACUGAGGCACACUGCGGAGCACUGCGGAGCACUGCGGCACACUGCGGCGCACUGCGGCACACUGCGGCGCACUGCGGCACACUGGCGCACUGCGGCACACUGCGGCGCACUGCGGAGCACUGCGGCACACUGCUUGCCUGUGACCUAUGCCCAUCUCCAGAUUAGUGCCCUCUGGUUCGAAUGCUGAGCAAAUGGCCACCGUACCACAUUGUCGAGGGGAUAAAGACAAGGUGGGGAAAACCUGUCCAAGUUUAGCCCUCACACGUUUUCCUCCAAGCAUUUUUGAGCCACUGCUGAUUGAGUCUUAGGUCUCCGAGGCCACAGACAGUCGCGG
rnacentral:lncRNA from 1 species